GAUGAACGCUGGCGGCAUGCCUAAUACAUGCAAGUCGAGCGAACAGACGAGUAGCUUGCUCCUCUGACGUUAGCGGCGGACGGGUGAAAACCAUUGGAACACCUCCCUUAUAGGAUGGGAGCCCUUCGGGAAACCGGUGCUUAUUCCAGAAGAUCUAUUGAAGCCCCUGGGUCACUUUUGGAACUCGGGUUUUGUGUUCGUUUGAGGUGGGACCGCGGCGCAUUAGCUAGUUGGUAAGGUAACGGCUUACCAAGGCAACGAUGCGUAGCCGACCUGAGAGGGUGAGCGGCCACACUGGAACUGAGACACGGUCCAGACUCCUACGGGAGGCAGCAGUAGGGAAUCUUCCGCAAUGGGCGAAAGCCUGACGGAGCAACGCCGCGUGAGUGAUGAAGGUCUUCGGAUCGUAAAACUCUGUUAUUAGGGAAGAACAAAUGUGUAAGUAACUAGGCACGUCUUGACGGUACCUAAUGAGAAAGCCACGGCUAACUACGUG
rnacentral:rRNA from 1 species